AUACAUGCAAGUCGAACGAGUUCUCGUUGAUGAUCGGUGCUUGCACCGAGAUUCAACAUGGAACGAGUGGCGGACGGGUGAGUAACACGUGGGUAACCUGCCCUUAAGUGGGGGAUAACAUUUGGAAACAGAUGCUAAUACCGCAUAGAUCCAAGAACCGCAUGGUUCUUGGCUGAAAGAUGGCGUAAGCUAUCGCUUUUGGAUGGACCCGCGGCGUAUUAGCUAGUUGGUGAGGUAAUGGCUCACCAAGGCGAUGAUACGUAGCCGAACUGAGAGGUUGAUCGGCCACAUUGGGACUGAGACACGGCCCAAACUCCUACGGGAGGCAGCAGUAGGGAAUCUUCCACAAUGGACGCAAGUCUGAUGGAGCAACGCCGCGUGAGUGAAGAAGGCUUUCGGGUCGUAAAACUCUGUUGUUGGAGAAGAAUGGUCGGCAGAGUAACUGUUGUCGGCGUGACGGUAUCCAACCAGAAAGCCACGGCUAACUACGUGCCAGCAGCCGCGGUAAUACGUAGGUGGCAAGCGUUAUCCGGAUUUAUUGGGCGUAAAGCGAGCGCAGGCGGUUUUUUAAGUCUGAUGUGAAAGCCCUCGGCUUAACCGAGGAAGCGCAUCGGAAACUGGGAAACUUGAGUGCAGAAGAGGACAGUGGAACUCCAUGUGUAGCGGUGAAAUGCGUAGAUAUAUGGAAGAACACCAGUGGCGAAGGCGGCUGUCUGGUCUGUAACUGACG
rnacentral:rRNA from 1 species